rnacentral:lncRNA from 1 species
GGGGCCACAGUUUGUGGAGCGGAUUAUCCUGACUAGGGACAAGACAGUGGUCAUGGGAGACUGCUCAUUGAUGACAAAGACAACAUUCAAGGUUGGGUCUAUUAACCUUGACCAUCUCCAGGCGCCUGGCCUGCUGGGAUUAAGGAGAGGAGUAAAAAUAACCAGAUUACAGACCGCACGUUCUGUCUUUACUGCCCCAGGCCUAGAGGAGACCCCAAGCUGGGAGCACAUCUUGUUCACCUGCUGCCACAAUCAGCACCUGGCCCUGCCCCCCACUAGGAGACGGCUGCUUUCCUGGAGUGAUGACUGGAGGGGCAUCAUAGAGAGCAAGCGAGCCAGCCUGUGAAGGACGGGGAGGUGGGUCAGCAGGACCCUGCCUGGACAGGUGACUUUAAUCAGGGAGCCACGGUAACUGCCACUUGAACAAACUGCCUUCCGGCCCCACCCAUGAAAUCUACACCCAGAAGGAACAAGGCUAGCACAUAAAUACAGUGAGAAAAUCAGGUUUUUAAUAAAA